rnacentral:snoRNA from 1 species
AUGCAUCUAUUUGACAGGCCCGGGGCAGUUACUGUCUGCCACUCAGGUUUCCACUACAGAUGCAGGAAGAAAGCAUCCUGUGCUUUCUGUCUGUCUGAUUGCGGCAGCCCAGACCGAAUGGGGGAAUACAAGG